rnacentral:lncRNA from 1 species
GGGUUGAGCUCAAGGUUUCACGGAGGUUAAGCAUGAACGCUGUCUCUGAGCCCUGAUGUCGGUCCUCGGAUUUGAUUUUUAAUACUGGUUUUAGAGUUGGUACUAACCUUGAUAGCAGCACAGUCUCUGAUGUCAAAAUCCUGUUGAAACUCCGGCUCCAUCAUCACAGCAGACACCUGAGAAGCCCUAAGUCAGAGGAGGAACACCAUCACACGGUUUGAGACUUAAUGACAGCCCCUGGCCCCAGACUCUGACAAAAUCGUCUUCACCUGAGGGAGCAGAGGACAUGACUGUCCUCACCUGGGAAGGCUGCAGCUCGGUUUCACAGGUCACCUCUACAUGACUGAGCUGUGACAUAGUGCUCUUUGCCCUUUCUCCAUGACCCACACUAUUGCAGCUGUUGGCUGGAUGAGUGUUCAGGAAGAGUACUGUCUUGGAGGAAAUCUAACUAUCGGCAUUGAGGGAAGGAGCCAUAAUCUACGUGUUUAUAGCCCUCAAAUGGUUCUUCCUUGAGUCACAAGCUUCUGGAAAACGGGGAGAUGUGAUGUCCGCUAUCAGAGUGACAUGAAUUUUACGCUGUGCUUCCUAUGUAUCUGGCAUUAUAAGAAGUCCUGAGGAGAUUCAGGCACGAACUGUCCCUAUUCUGAGACACAUAAGAAGCCAAACGUGUAAAGCAGGCCUUUGGGGUCUUGCAAAGGAGUUUCGUUAAGAAAGAAGGAGGGAAGCUCCCAGGACCCAGACAUAAGCGUAUCUUCAGUGGUGGAUGUUUAUGCUGGGUGUUGGCAAAUGAAAAGAGUCAGCGUAGUGAUUGGGAUGGGGGCGUGGGAGAACAGCUGCCCAGGUAACACUUAGACUGUCUUGCAGAUGAUUGCAAGCAGAGAGCCUUGGACUGAAGGAACAGCUUCAAUUUCUUCAAAACUGGUUAUUAUCGGAUGAAAGAAUGGCCAUUCGGGAGAACAGUCAUCGGAUCUCAUUAACCUUCACUGGGCUUUUAGAGUUCCUCAGAAAGACGCGCAGAUGUGUUUUAAAGGAUGCUUGAAAUAGCAUAUAAUUCUAUCUAUGCCCUUCAUCAUCCUCCAGUGUUCAUAUGCUCAAGUGAGAGACUUAAAUUUGGAAGGUAUUGCACAGCAGUACAUAAGACGUAAGAACCACCUGGAUGCUCCUCUGCAGAAAAAACAUCUUUGCGGGUCACUGGUUUUGUUUCCCUAUGCCACACAAAUGGCUUUCAAGGGAAAACGAUUCUGCUAAAGAUUGUGGUGGUGACCUUUUGUUUUAUAAGGAGCCUGCUCAUCACAUAUGUUUCAAAUCUGACCACAUCAAAAAUGUCCCCAAGGCGCAUGACCAAUCUCCCUUCCUUAUGACAGUACCGAGAGGACAAUCCCUGAGCCUGAUGCAACGCUGCCGCUGGGACCUCCAGGGUUUUCUAAAGCCUUUUAUUUCUGUGUGCAAAGUGCUUUCAGAUACAUUUCCGUACUUGUGCCUCACCACAAGCCUGUGAGAUCAGAGCUGUUGGUGAAAUUCCCACUUUUGAGAAGUACAACUACUUUCACCUUGGGCCACAUUGGGUCCCGAUCAUCAUGGAGCACAGGGACAAGGACAGCCUCUUGGAGUCACACACUUCACACCAGUAACUGCUUCUGCAGGUCUCAAGGUACCCAUGGCACAGAGGUGGUUGUCACAGUUCUCUGUGUCACACAGCGCAUGGCAAACCAACAAGCAAACAAGAGCCACGCUGGAUGCAGGCGGCUAACUACGCUCUCUGUUACCACAAGCGUUUUGUUCUCAACUGUCCUUCACUGUUGUUGGCCUGCCCCGUGGACGUCCUUAUUACUACAGGCUUCCUGACAAGAAUCCUCUCCCACUGUGUGGAUUUAGGCUGACAACAUCUUCAAACCAACAACUGAAGAUGCCGCUGUCACAAACUUGUGAGAUCAGGUGCUUACGUGGAAAACAGAUCACGUUAGUAAUCGGGGUUUGGCAGGCUCCAAAGAGCCACCAAGCGCACAUAGGUUCUGUUCAUUUUCUACAGGAGUCAAUACACAUGUGUCAUUUUAAGAUGCCAGCUGAGUCAAGAUAUCUUAGGAUAUAACUGUAUAUACAGGAGCUAAUUAAAAGCAAUUCGUUC